CAUCUCCCGGCAUCCAGCGGGGAUCCCGGGGGCUGGCGGGGAAGAAGGCGCGGAGCACACCGGGACUGGGAGCGUGCGGCUGCGCAGACUGCUAGCGCGGGCGCGCAGGGAAAGGCGUGUCGAGCCUACGGAGGCCGAGGCAGUGCUGGCUAGCCAGCAAAUCUGGUCAGUUUCGCAACUCUUUGAAGAUAGCGAAAAGGUCCCAAACUCCUUUGUGUGGGGAGCACCAAUGAGCACUCAGCAAUAAAGUGGCCCAGAUGUGACGCCAUGUGAUAUCCAUUCCCCACCAAAAGCAAAACAAAGCAAGAAGGCAGCGAUGAUUGUUCCUCUUGGGAUGUGACUGAAUGCCAGCAGCCUUCUAUCUUUAGUUAGGACCCAUUGAUAAUCUCUUUUGGAGUUUUACCUGAUAGCCCCUGAACUAAAUUCAGCAUGUAGACCACAGCUGAUAUUUGGCCAGUAUGUGCCCUGCACAUGAUUAAUGUAUUAACAUCCAUGGUAAAUAGUAAAUAAAUGUUAAAGUUGAUUAA
rnacentral:lncRNA from 1 species